UGGCAGGUCAUAACCAUCUGAACCUUCAGU
rnacentral:piRNA from 1 species